rnacentral:rRNA from 1 species
GACGAACGCUGGCGGCGUGCUUAACACAUGCAAGUCGAACGGAAAGGCCCUGCUUUUGUGGGGUGCUCGAGUGGCGAACGGGUGAGUAACACGUGAGUAACCUGCCCUUGACUUUGGGAUAACUUCAGGAAACUGGGGCUAAUACCGGAUAGGAGCUCCUGCUGCAUGGUGGGGGUUGGAAAGUUUCGGCGGUUGGGGAUGGACUCGCGGCUUAUCAGCUUGUUGGUGGGGUAGUGGCUUACCAAGGCUUUGACGGGUAGCCGGCCUGAGAGGGUGACCGGCCACAUUGGGACUGAGAGACGGCCCAGACGCCUACGGGAGGCAGCAGUGGGGAAUAUUGCACAAUGGGCGGAAGCCUGAUGCAGAAACGCCGCGUGCGGGAUGACGGCCUUCGGGUUGUAAACCGCUUUCGCCUGUGACGAAGCGUGAGUGACGGUAAUGGGUAAAGAAGCACCGGCUAACUACGUG